UGACGUCAAGUCCUCAUGGCCCUUACCAUCCCGGCUACACACGUGCUACAAUGGCAGGUACAGAGGGCUGCGAAGCCGCGAGGUGGAGCGAAUCCCAGAAAACCUGUCUCAGUCCGGAUUGAAGUCUGCAACUCGACUUCAUGAAGGCGGAAUCGCUAGUAACCGCGAAUCAGCAGGUCGCGGUGAAUACGUUCCCGGGCCUU
rnacentral:rRNA from 1 species